UGCGUAGGCGGAUUAAUAAGUCAGUGGUGAAAUCUUUCGGCUCAACCGAGAAACUGCCAUUGAUACUGUUAAUCUUGAGUUCAGUUGAGGUAGGCGGAAUGUGUAAUGUAGCGGUGAAAUGCUUAGAUAUUACACAGAACACCAAUUGCGUAGGCAGCUUACUAGACCGACACUGACGCUGAGGCACGAAAGCGUGGGGAGCGAACAGGAUUAGAUACCCUGGUAGUCC
rnacentral:rRNA from 1 species